GGAGGGCUCGCAUAGUGGCCUAGUGCGCUGGUCUUGAAAACCGGUAUGGCGGCAACGUCAUCGUGGGUUCGAAUCCCACGCCCUCCGCCA
rnacentral:tRNA from 1 species